rnacentral:rRNA from 1 species
CGGACGGGUGAGUAACACGUGGAUAACCUACCUAUAAGACUGGGAUAACUUCGGGAAACCGGAGCUAAUACCGGAUAAUAUUUUGAACCGCAUGGUUCAAAAGUGAAAGACGGUCUUGCUGUCACUUAUAGAUGGAUUCGCGCUGCAUUAGCUAGUUGGUAGGGUAACGGCUUACCAAGGCAACGAUGCAUAGCCGACCUGAGAGGGUGAUCGGCCACACUGGAACUGAGACACGGUCCAG